AGUCACUGACAUUAGAUACCCGUGUAGUCCAGGGUGUAAACGCUGCAGACUUGGUGUUGGAAAUCCUUCGAGGGUAUUCAGUGCCGGAGAGAAGUUGUUAAGUCUGCUACGUGGGAGUACGUCCGCAAAGGAUGAAACUUAAAGGAAUUGGCGGGGGAGCACCGCAACGGGAGGAGCGUGCGGUUUAAUUGGAUUCAACGCCGAAAACUCACCAGCAGCGACUGUUACAUGAAAGUCAGGUUGAUGACCUUACUAGAUUUUCAG
rnacentral:rRNA from 1 species